GGGGAUGCCAGGCAUAGACAGAUGGCCUAUUGUAUUGAUGCAUACCGAGCAUGAACAUAAUCUCGUAAAAAUUUGUUCAAUAGCUUAAUUGCAAAAUUAGCUUCCAAGGUGAAGGCAGCAGUCUCUCCAUACUUCGGUAUGAAUGACUUUGCUUUCGCUUCAGUUUCGGCUUACGCCUAACUGAUGUCUCUCUUAUAGACUUCCGAUAUAUAAGACGAGGCACAAUAUUGUCGGGAUAAGGGAAUGCCCGUUCGAACAUUUCACUAAAACCUAGAACUCGAUUAAAAAAUAUUUGGCUCGUUUAAGAAUUUUUUAAUUUAAUCCGCCGGCUGGCGGAAAAAAGCGAGCUAUGUAUGUAGACUUCAAUGCCCUAACCUUCUGCACACGAGUUCAAUUCUCGUCAUCUCCACUC
rnacentral:tmRNA from 1 species